rnacentral:rRNA from 1 species
CCUACGGGAGGCAGCAGUGAGGAAUAUUGGUCAAUGGUCGGGAGACUGAACCAGCCAAGCCGCGUGAGGGAUGAAGGUACAGAGUAUCGUAAACUUCUUUUGCCAGGGAACAAAGGCGGGGACGCGUCCCCGGAUGAGUGUACCUGAAGAAAAAGCAUCGGCUAACUUCGUGCCAGCAGCCGCGGUAAUAUGGAGGAUGCGAGCGUUAGCCGGUUUUAUUGGGUUAAAGGGGUGCGCAGGCGGUCUGUUAAGUCAGCGGUAAAAGCCCGGGGCACAACCCCGGACCGCCGGUGAGACUGGCAGUCUCGAGUUGGAGAGAAGAAUGCAGAAUGCGCGGUGUAGCGGUGAAAUGCAUAGAUAGCGCGCAGAACUCCGAUUGCGAAGGCAGCAUGCCGGCUCCACACUGACGCUGAGGCACGAAAGCGUGGGUAUCGAACAGGAUUAGAUACCCUUGUAGUC